rnacentral:rRNA from 1 species
UUAACACAUGCAAGUCGAACGCGAAAGGGACUUCGGUCCUGAGUAAAGUGGCGCACGGGUGAGUAACGCGUAGAUAACCUGUCUUCAUGUCUGGAAUAAUACGCCGAAAGGGGUACUAAUACCGGAUAUCUUGCUUUUCAUAAGUUAUGCAAGCAAAGGUGGCCUCUGCAUAUGCUACUGCAUGAAGAGGGGUCUGCGUACCAUUAGCUAGUAGGUGGGGUAAUGGCCUACCUAGGCGACGAUGGUUAGCGGGUCUGAGAGGAUGAUCCGCCACACUGGCACUGGAACACGGGCCAGACUCCUACGGGAGGCAGCAGUGAGGAAUAUUGCGCAAUGGGGGAAACCCUGACGCAGCGACGCCGCGUGAGUGAGGAAAGGCCUUCGGGUCGUAAAGCUCUGUCAAGAGGAAAGAAGUGUACAAUGGCUAAUACCUGUUGUAUUUGACGGUACCUCUAAAGGAAGCACCGGCUAACUCCGUGCCAGCAGCAGC